rnacentral:sRNA from 1 species
GCCGGGGACCGCGGAGAGGUGGCAGAGCGGUUGAAUGUACCUGACUCGAAAUCAGGCAGGCGUUUAUAGCGCCUCGAGGGUUCGAAUCCCUCCCUCUCCGCCAACGAAUUCAAGGGGUUGUGCCCAUGGGCACAACCCCUUUUUCAUGGUCUUCGCCGAUCCGAGGGGGAUGGCC